GGUGGGGCGUUGAUGUCGUCUUGAAAAAGUCUAACAACACGCGUGAGGCGAACGGCGAGUCACACACUCGGCGAAGCGCAGCACAGCAGCACACACACAGGGAGUGAUAAGCGGAGUCGGCGGAUGCGCACGUCCGCGCGACCUGCAAUGGAAGAGACCUUAGAAGAUAUAGUGGCGAGAGGUGAGGCAUUAGGCCGACCUGAAGGAGAAGCUGACCUUGGCUAUUUCCUUCCGCCUGGGAUUGUUCAAAACGUGAAACAAAAUGCCGAAAA